AGCGAACGCUGGCGGCAGGCCUAACACAUGCAAGUCGAACGAACUCUUCGGAGUUAGUGGCGGACGGGUGAGUAACACGUGGGAACGUGCCUUUUGGUUCGGAAUAACUCAGGGAAACUUGUGCUAAUACCGAAUGUGCCCUUCGGGGGAAAGAUUUAUCGCCAUUAGAGCGGCCCGCGUCUGAUUAGCUAGUUGGUGAGGUAACGGCUCACCAAGGCGACGAUCAGUAGCUGGUCUGAGAGGAUGACCAGCCACACUGGGACUGAGACACGGCCCAGACUCCUACGGGAGGCAGCAGUGGGGAAUCUUGCGCAAUGGGCGAAAGCCUGACGCAGCCAUGCCGCGUGAAUGAUGAAGGUCUUAUGAUUGUAAAAUUCUUUCACCGGGGACGAUAAUGACGGUACCCGGAGAAGAAGCCCCGGCUAACUUCGUG
rnacentral:rRNA from 1 species